rnacentral:SRP_RNA from 1 species
CUGUGCUAGGCGGGGAGCUAGUGGUGCCCUGUUACUCGCAAUCCACUACAGCGAGGCUGAAAGUUACGGACGGCCUGGUGCGUGGAAAGCUGGAAUGUAUAAGGAGUGUUGAUAUCAAGGUCUUGUGCAAUGCCUUGCUGUGAACCGUGUCAGGGUAGGGAUACAGCAGCACUAAGCAGAUUUAGGCGUGUGCCACGAGGGUGCUUUGAAGUAGCCACCUGUACAGAUACCGUUUCGGCGUAUCUUGUCAACCGUAACGCACAG